AAAAGAUAAGGUUUGUGAAGCUGUAAGACCUUUCAUUGUGUUGAUUUAGGCUUGUCCUUAAAUCUGUGAUUAUCUGCAAUUUAAUGCUGGAGAUUUUUACACUUCUUGCUUUGAUCAAAGGUUAUCUAGGUGCUCACCAUUUAAUAUUGCAUUCAUACAAUCUUGUUAUAUUGAGCAUUCAUUAUUGUGUAGUUCUCUCUUUUGUGAGGUAGAGCUAAAUUGUAUUUUCCUGGUUAACAUGUCAAAAGCAUAUGUGGAUCACCCCAAAUAUUGCUAUGCACCCCUUCUAUCAGUAUCAAGUUUUUAGUCCAUUUUCAUUGUUCUACUGGUUUGCAGUAAAAUUGUUAUCAUGUAUUGCCCAGUGUAAUACAUGAAGGUUGUAUCUUGUCACUUGAUUAACUUAUGUUUUUUCUGUUCCAGCUAUACUGGGCAUAGUCCUGCAAAACUCAGAAA
rnacentral:misc_RNA from 1 species